UUUGUGGAUGGUAAACGAGCAACAAGCCGCACCCCAUUUUGAAUAGCAAAUCCAAUUCUACCAGUCGAGAAAUUGUUGUGCACGACCUUCUGCACUCUAUCUAGGAAACCGACAACUUCAGGGGCAAGACACACGAAAGUAUCGAAGGCAAAGGGAAUGAAAACAUGUUGAUUCUCAGUACAGGUUUUCUCAUGCUUAGCGACCCUCCUUGAUUCUGAUUCUGCCUUCAACACAGCCUGAUCAACCACGAAAUGGUUUUCCCUGAGUCCAACAAGAGGGACACCUCGGUAAGAUCCACACGGCAAACUCACACGCACCUUUAUAUCCACUUAUAGAUAUUUUACUAAUGUCUAGCAGCGGAGUAAGGUAGCACCUUACGACACUCAUUAUCACCGGCCUACAAGCCCUUUGGAAUAUGUGUUGUAGAUACUUGUUGAUUUUUUAAUUUUAGUAGAAAUAGAAAUAGAAUUGAUGGUGCUUUAUGUUGUGAAUUGAUAAAAAAGGAACUGUGUGCGCUAUUGAUUGCUUGAAAUGACAGCAAAUGAAAUUGGAUGUUCCUAAAAGUUAUCUUCUUUUAGAAACCAGUAUCAGAUUGUGCACCUUACCUAUUAUGUAAUAAAUGUUUUUAUCCCUCUUGAAAUUUGUAUGUUUUUAAUCUGGUUUGAAAGUGAUCUGAACUUUGAUAUUAUUACUAUAAUAAGUGCUUAAAAGAUGGUCUCUUUGACACUCAUUUAGAUCUCUGAAACAUUGGUAUGUUAAUUGUUUCUCAAACUAUAAUGUGCUUGCUUGUGUAUACAUCCUUAGAUUCAUAUGGUAGUCAGUCAGUCAUAUGAUUAUUUGUUCAUUCAUGUUGUUAUGACACACAUCUGUUGAUGGUUUACGGGCUCAGUGGCUCCAGUAUAAUCCUUGAUAUUGCAGUGCUGUCAGGUGCUCGUGUUUGAGUCAUGUCGGAAUUGCCCCUUGUACAAUUUCUUGUGUCAAGCAAGCUACCAUACUUUUUUUUAAUAAUCGUAAGAAUAUGUUAAAAGAAAAUGUGACACACCGCGCCAGUACCUACUAACUAGUGGGGCUAGGUAAAGUGUAACUUACAUUGACAGGUGAUCUUCAAUGAACUAAGACAUAAAACCAGUGGAGGUUGAAAACUUGAAAUGUUGAACUUUAAAGGGAUAUUGGAUUUAAAUAACCCCAACUUUCAUCAAUUGGCCGAUAACACUCCCAACUUUCGAUUUAUACACCAGCACUCCCAACUUUCAACUUAUUGUCUAAUAACACUCCCUAAGUAACAUAACCCUAACACAGUCAGCUGCCACAUCAUCAAAAAUGCCAUGCCAGCUACCACAUCAUCUGCCACGUCAGCCAAUUGGCCACAUCAGAUGCCACAUCAGCAAAAACUAACUGAGUUAGGGUUUAGUUAGUCAGGGAGUGUUAUCGGCCAAUAAGUUGAAAGUUGGAAGUGCUGGUGUACAAAUCAAAAGUUGAAAGUGUUAUCAGCCUAUUGGUAAAAGUUUGGAUAAUUUAAAUUCAAUAUCCCAAUUUUAAAAUGGAACCACAUCUCAAAGGUUACAAGUACCAUACUUUUCACAUUGCUACACUUAACCCUUAUCCUUUGUUGUAAAAGAACUUUAUUAAAAUUCUAAGUCACAAUGUGUUUCCAAUUGCAAUCAUCAAACUUAUAAAAUUAAGAGCAAUUAGACUUGAAAUUCAAGCUUCAAGUUUCAAUAAAUUUUGCAAAUAGACCCAAUAAUAGCAAAAAUAUCAAAUAAACCAAAUGAGAAAAAGGGAUCCUCACCAACUAUACAGCAAAACUGCAGCCUACAAGAUCAAUGGAAAUUGAUUUCAACCUUAUGAAAAAACAACACUAAUGUCCCUUGUGAUCUUCCCACAAUUUGCUUUGAUUUGAUAAAUUUAAACCGUCGCUCGUUUAUAUAAACUACUUGUCACCAACAACCGAAACCAAACCCCCAUCGGUAACCUCCGGUUCCUCGAGAAACAAGUCAUCCGUGCUCCUGAUUCCCGCGUGUAUCACCACAACACCUGCCCCAAGGCCUAUAGCCACUAGUAGAAUCACUCCCACAUCGGUGCAAGCCAAUGCAAACACCGUCAACAAACUCAGCGCCAUGAGCACAACACGGUCAUCAAACACGUAGCCGAGAAUCACAACCGGACUACGUGGAUCACGGAAGAAGUAAAGGAAAAACCAACCAACGAACACGACCAAAAACGUAAUCAUCGAAAUCGGUUGAUAAAUGAGACUCAGAAAGAGUAUGAGAAGCGUCACCAUCGCGUAAUUCACCCGAAAGUAGUUAAGAUUCUGUUUGAUACGACGUGUAGCGUCGCUGUAGCUUUGCGGCCAAGUAACCGCCUUGUAAUCAAAAAGCUCCCGCCAUGGUCGACGCCUGGAUAUAAAGUCCUCCGUGUGAUGCCUGGCGCGUGCAAUCAACGCGUUCGGUGUUGACGGUGGCAGUAUGUCACCGGUGGCGGUGCUGGUGGGGAGCGUUCCGUAACCGGCGGGUGGAUUGCUGGUGGGGAGCGUUCCGUAACCGGCGGGUGGAUUGCUGGUGGGGAGCGUUCCAUAACCGGCGGGUGGAUUGCUGGUGGGGAGCGUUCCAUAACCAGCGGCGGUUGAAUUCUUCGACAUUGUAAGAUAUGUAACAAAGAAGUGAUUUCACACCCUACUUUGGAUCCAGAUUAACAUGUAAUCAUUGCAAAAGGAUCAAGUUUCACCAUCAAAUUUAGUAAAUUCUUACACUUGUUGAAGUAAAUUUGGAAAUAACCAUUGGAUCAGUCAAUUUUUCUUACAGGAAAGUAGGUGUGAUCAUUAUACAACAAACAAAUGUGAGGCUGAGUUUUAAAUCAAUUCAAUUAUAAAAAAAUACAAUUCACUUAAAGUUAAUACAAAAUUUAAUUUAUAUGAUCGAAUAUAUUAUACGUUUAAAACGGCUACAAGUUCAGUACUCAGUAGCGUCUUCUCCAACAAAACCGCGCCUCACAUUUCUGUCCCCGCAUUUUCUCCUGAAAAAAUUAAGUAACUGCAUAACGAUCGACUACACAUCGUAAAAACAAGAUUAAUAUAUGUG
rnacentral:lncRNA from 1 species